UUGUGUUUCAUUCAGCAACGUAUUCUUCUCAACAACUCAGCAGUGCACUUUUUCUCUAAAAAUCAUGAUUAUUUCUUCCUUAUGCCCCACCAAUCAACGCUCCUCCAGCGGCGAAGAGGUACCCCUCCAUCCUACGACAACGUUAUCUUUCUCUUCACCGACGACGAGGAACUUGCAUCCGUAGCCAACAAUGUCUUGUCUUUCUUUACGCCGGCGACGACGAACUCCUAACCCUAGCCAAAGGCGUCUUCUCUUUCUCUACACCGACGACGACGAGGAACUUGCAGUAGUGGUCCCCUCUAGUAGCAAAUCCUCUUUUUUUCUUCAUCAACUUCAUAACAGGACACAGAACUUAAAUGUAAAGGCUUUGGGACUGGUCAACAAAAUAAACUGGCCACUUUAUAAGAAUAUUUCCAUGGCUUCAUCCGGAGAAGUUGCAUCGAUACCUGGAAGUUUAUCUUUAGUUAACUUGAAGAUUGUCAACAGAAUGGCUGAAAAUUUCUUGGUCUAUCUUGAAGAGCAUGUUAUUUGGUUUGUGGAAUGUUGCAGUGAUUUGGAGUUGUCAAAGACACUCUUCUUUUUUGUUCUCUUGCAGUCUUUUUGUAUAAAACGAAAAGAGUAAGACAUUUGUGCACUAUUUGAAUGUCUAUUUCUUAUUCUAAAGGCUGAGUGGGAAACUUCAGUAGCUGCUGAUGUCGUAUUGGAUGAGAUAUUGGACUUCCAUCUGGAAAAUCACUCUUUCAACUUCAAGCUGAGAGGAUUCUGUGUGCAAAGACUAGCGGCUCAAGCUACAAAUGAGAUUAAGUUCCAUUUGUCUUGCUUCAAUUUCUUCAUGCAUUCUACUGUUACAUUCUCAUCAGUUUAUGUAUUGUUGAUUCAACUUCUUCGCUAUAAAUACACUGGUAUAUAAUGACUAGCACUGAUGAGGCAACACGCAAAUUCUUUGAAAGCCAUAAAUAUUUCAGUCUCGAGGCUGAAUAGAUAAGAUGUUUAAACCAUUUUCCAGCACAAUAUUAGUACUUGUUUUACCAUCGUUUACUUACUAUAGAACUCACCUCUUUGGUAUAGGUUAUCUUUUUCCAACAAGGAACAAUCCCUUGCGUUUCUAAGGAUGGCAGAUUUAUUAUGGAGACUCCAUACAGGGUGUGCUUUCAUUUUUGGUUUCAUAAAUGGAUGUUAACUAAAACAUUGAAAAAUGAUGGCAAACUGGAAAUGUAUACAAGAAUGUGCAAAGGAAGAUUGAGAGAGGACUUUCUUUUCCCACAUGUAUAUAAGUAAACAACUUAGUCUGCCAUUUCUCUCCACUGGUCUCCACUGGCUAGUGAUGAGGCAAUGUUGGAAGAAGGGAUGUUGAAGAAUUGGCUGAAGUUGAAGCUAAAUUGAUUUUAAUUCAAAAAGGUUGGAAAGCACUUGUGUGGUUCAGAUCCGUUCACCUUGACCCUGAAAUAUAUCCUAAUCCAAAGAAAUUUAACAAUUAUAGAUGGAAUGUAAGUUGUCAAGCUUCAUGUUUACCUCUUUUGAACUAAGUCAUGGAUUCUACACUUUUAUAUGUGCUUUAUGGUUUAAUUUUGAAUUUGGUGAUGCUUAUUCAAAAAAAUAAGACAAAGUGCAGAGUGUGUGAUAAGAGGGGCAUAUUAUGUUAUUAGCAGGUUAAACAUAUUUAGGAGCCUUCUCCAGUAAUAUCUAAUAGAAUUGCUUUUAGUUAUGCUAUUUAUAUGCCUGGUAUUCUUGCAUUAAGGAAGUAAAAACCUUUGCUUUGUAAGCCUUUUAUAUGUUUUAGCUUCAUAAAAUUGAGACAAUUGCUGACAGGAUACGCAUACCAUUGAUUUUGGAUAUCAAUAAAGUUGUGGCUUAAAAUAUAUAUUAGUGACCUCAAUCAGUAAUUUGGAUUAUAGUCUCAUGUCUAAUUACGUAAGAACUUGUAUUGGAUUUGAUAGCUUAGUGGGUUUAAAAUUUAAUGUCGUAUUUUCUCCCUUAUUUAGGAUUUUUUUGCUAUUGGCUCGUUUAAUAUUCUUUUUGUGAUCUUGUGUUAAGAUUACAUCUUUUGAGUAUUAAUUAAAAAUACCUUUUAUAUGUAUUAAACUCUAACUAUUAAUUAAAAAUAUCUUUGAUGUCUAUGAAACUGUAGUUAUAAAAUAAAAUAUAACUUUGACGUUUAUAAAAUCAUAAACAUACUUGUGUUUCCUAUUUUACAUCAGUCUUAAGGUUGUGUUUUGUUGGGUAUUUAUGAUACACCAACUUUACAUGCGAAGGAAAAAUUAUUUCUGAAUAAGGAUGACAAAUAUAUUUGUAGCUUUUGCUAGAAAUAUAUCUUUGGUGUUUCUUGUACUUUUGAAGGGAAUUAUUCAAGGUAGUAUCCAACACAGUCCUAAGGAACCACAGAGGUUGUGAUUCAACAUCAUACCAAAAAGAUUCAACAUACUUUAACUACAGAAAGACACACAAAGGAGACAUUUGAUUGCAAGUGGCUAGUUGUUAUGAUCCUCAAGGUAGCAUCCCCAUGGUAGUAUCUCUAGCUUUCGGAAAUUGAGCAACUCACCAUGGAUAUUCAGAUUUUAAUUCUGAAGAUGUAAGUAUUGUCUUUUUAUCGAGCUAACAAACUUCAGUUAGUAAAUUGGAUUAGUUUUCCUAGAGUAGAAUUUACUUUUUUUAAAGAAUUAAUAAUAGAUUUUGUCCUAGAAGUGAAUUUGUAGUUGAGUUUUGGUUUAUUUUUUCUUUAUUUAGACUUGGUCUUUGCAAGGAAUAUAGUGGUAAGUAGGGAUAUUUUAGUGUAUGCUAAUGGAGACAACUUUAUAGUGUGUAUUGUACCCUGGUGUUAAGUUUUAUCAUUGUUGAGUAAA